AUUGAACGCUGGCGGCAUGCCUUACACAUGCAAGUCGAACGGCAGCACGGGUGCUUGCACCUGGUGGCGAGUGGCGAACGGGUGAGUAAUACAUCGGGACGUACCUUAUCGUGGGGGAUAACGCAGCGAAAGCUGUGCUAAUACCGCAUACGCCCUGAGGGGGAAAGCGGAGGAUCGCAAGACCUCCCGCGAUCAGAGCGGCCGAUGCCUGAUUAGCUUGUUGGUGGGGUAAAAGCCCACCAAGGCGACGAUCAGUAGCUGGUCUGAGAGGACGAUCAGCCACACUGGGACUGAGACACGGCCCAGACUCCUACGGGAGGCAGCAGUGGGGAAUUUUGGACAAUGGGGGCAACCCUGAUCCAGCAAUGCCGCGUGGGUGAAGAGGGCCUUCGGGUUGUAAAGCUCUUUUGUCAGGGAAGAAACACCGGCUCUAACACAGUCCGGGAAUGACGGUACCUGAAGAAUAAGCACCGGCUAACUACGUGCCAGCAGCCGCAGUAA
rnacentral:rRNA from 1 species